rnacentral:rRNA from 1 species
ACGCGUGGGUGACGUACCUUUGUGACGGGGACAGCUCCUAGAAAUAGGAGAUAAUACCGGAUACGCUGCAGCAUGUCAGAGGUGCUGCAGGAAAGGAUCUUUUGAUUCGCACAGAGAGCGGCCCGCGUACUAUUAGCUAGUUGGUGAGGUAACGGCCCACCAAGGCGACGAUAGUUACCCGGCCUAAGAGGGUGAUCGGGCACAUUGGGACUGAGAUACGGCCCAGACUCCUACGGGAGGCAGCAGCUAAGAAUAUUCCGCAAUGGACGAAAGUCUGACGGAGCGACGCCGCGUGGAUGAUGAAGGCCGGAAGGUUGUAAAAUCCUUUUAUGACUGAGGAAUAAGGGAAGUGAGAGAAACGCUUCCUGGUGACUGUAGGUCAUGAAUAAGCAACGGCUAAUUACGUGCCAGCAGCCGCGGUAACACGUAAGUUGCGAGCGUUGUUCGGAAUUAUUGGGCGUAAAGGGCAUGUAGGCGGUUCUGCAAGUCUGGUGUGAAAUACCGGGGCUCAACCCCGGAACUGCGUUG